rnacentral:rRNA from 1 species
AGGACGAACGCUGGCGGCGUGCCUAACACAUGCAAGUGGAGCGACGAACCGGGCUUCGGCCCGGGGCAGAGCCGCGAACGGGUGAGUAACACGUGGGUAACCUGCCCUGAUGAUUGGGACAACCCGAGGAAACUCGGGCUAAUACCGAAUGUGCCCUCUGGCCUCAAGGCCUCUGGGGAAAGGAGCUUCGGCCUCCGCAUCGGGAUGGGCCCGCGGCCCAUUAGCUUGUUGGUGAGGUAACGGCUCACCAAGGCUACGAUGGGUAGCUGGUCUGAGAGGACGAUCAGCCACACUGGGAUUGAGAACGGCCCAGACUCCUACGGGGGCAGCAGUGAGGAAUUUUCGUCAAUGGGGGAAACCCUGAACGAGCAACGCCGCGUGCAGGAAGAAGGUUUUCGGAUCGUAAACUGCUUUUCUGUGGGAAGAGAACGGACGGUACCACGAGGAAGAAGGCCCCGGCUAACUACGUGCCAGCAGCCGC